ensembl:miRNA
AGUCAGCUUGUCCUUUGAAGCUACAAAGGCAGGCAUUGACUUCUCUCUAGCUAUGAAAGUCCUAGAUGACAU